rnacentral:rRNA from 1 species
GUGUCAGCCGCCGCGGUACUACGUAGGUGGCAAGCGUUGUCCGGAUUUAUUGGGCGUAAAGCGAACGCAGGCGGGAGAAUAAGUCAGCUGUGAAAGCCCCCAGCUUAACUGGGGAAGUGCAACUGAAACUAUUUUUCUUGAGUGCAGAAGAGGAGAGUGGGACUCCAUGUGUAGCGGUGGAAUGCGUAGAUAUAUGGAAGAACACCAGUGGCGAAGGCGGCUCUCUGGUCUGUAACUGACGCUGAGGUUCUAAAGCAUGGGUAGCGAACAGGAUUAGAUACCCUGGUAGUCCAUGCCGUAAACGAUGAGUGCUAAGUGUUGGGAGGUUUCCGCCUCUCAGUGCUGCGGCUAACGCAUUAAGCACUCCGCCUGGGGAGUACGACCGCAAGGUUAAAACUUAAAUAAAUUGGCGC